rnacentral:tRNA from 1 species
AAAAAUUUAGUUAAAAAAUAACAUUAGUUUGUCAAGCUAAAAUUAUUUAGUAUAGAUAAUUUUUA